ACCACAGUGCUAUAGAUAUUUAGAAAAUAUAUGAAAAUUUCAGAUGGUAAAACCCCAAGAUCAUGUUCUAUUGAGGAGAGUACAAGAAAGAAGUGGGAAAAACAGCAUUUAUACAGGUGCCUUAACACAGUGAGCCUGUAGUCAUUAUAAGCAAAAGAAUGCUUAAGCACUUGACCAACUUGAUCCAGAAUUUUGCAAAACCGUUGCCUAGUGAUGACAUAGCUGAAUAAUCAAUCAAGAAAAUGCUCUUCAAUUCUCACACCUCUUCUUGUGCAGAUUGCUUAGCAAGUUUGAGGUCCUCACUAAGACCCAACUCAAAAAGGCCUUACUCUCAACCAUAUGGAUUGGAACUUAGCCGUAUUUAUAAUUUCACUAUGCCAUUUAAGCAAUAUUCAUAUUAAAUCCUUGGCAAAGAUAAGAUUAAAUAGGAGAAAAGGCAGAUAUCUUGUUCACUAAAUGUGCAUGAAAAAUUUUUAAAAGUGAAUUAAAUAAAUGAGUAUUACCAUAGUGGCAUCGUCGGGCUUG
rnacentral:misc_RNA from 1 species